UACCACCCUUUAACGUUUGAUGUUCUAACCCGGGUCCAUAAUCUGGAUCGGGGACCGUGUCUGGUGGGUAGUUUGACUGGGGCGGUCUCCUCCCAAAGAGUAACGGAGGAGCACGAAGGUUGGCUAAGCAUGGUCGGACAUCAUGCGGUUAGUGCAAAGGCAUAAGCCAGCUUGACUGCGAGAGUGACGGCUCGAGCAGGUACGAAAGUAGGUCUUAGUGAUCCGGUGGUUCUGAAUGGAAGGGCCAUCGCUCAACGGAUAAAAGGUACUCCGGGGAUAACAGGCUGAUACCGCCCAAGAGUUCAUAUCGACGGCGGUGUUUGGCACCUCGAUGUCGGCUCAUCACAUCCUGGGGCUGAAGUAGGUCCCAAGGGUAUGGCUGUUCGCCAUUUAAAGUGGUACGCGAGCUGGGUUUAGAACGUCGUGAGACAGUUCGGUCCCUAUCUGCCGUGGGCGCUGGAAGAUUGAGAGGGGUUGCUCCUAGUACGAGAGGACCGGAGUGAACGCACCACUGGUGUACGGGUUGUGAUGCCAAUUGCAUUGCCCGGUAGCUAAGUGCGGAAGAGAUAACCGCUGAAAGCAUCUAAGCGGGAAACUUGCCUCGAGAUGAGUCUUCCCUGACCCUUUAAGGGUCCUGAAGGAACGUUUGAGACUAAGACGUUGAUAGGCUGGGUGUGUAAGCGCAGCGAUGCGUUGAGCUGACCAGUACUAAUGAACCGAGAGGCUUAACCUGACAACACCGAAGGUGUUU
rnacentral:rRNA from 1 species